GUUCACAGCUCAGUGUCAGAGCAUCUGCUUUGCAUGCAGAAGGUCCAAGGUUCAGUCCCUGGCAUUUCCA